CUCGGCUGACGUCACGCGGCCUGGCCGUCGCGCCCUCAGCCAUGGCGGCGCUUCCCGGUGCCAUCCGCUUCCAUCCGCUGCCAUCCGCGGCCGGGGCUGCUCUCACGGAGCGAGGGAGGAGCAGAGGCUCUUCGGGGCAGCGUUGGCGAGGCGCCUUCCCCGCCAUCGGGCCCCGCCGCCGCAGCCGUGAGCCUCUCACUCAGAUGAUCUAGAGAUGUGGAAAGCUGCUGGGAUGGAGGAGGCCUCGUUCUCAUGUCUCCACAUGCAUGUUUCUUCCUCAGAAGCAACACAGAAAUGACACUGGCGAGUUCCACUGAGAUGAGAGACUCUCACUUUCUAGAGAAAGCUGCUGGGAUGGAGAGGGCCUCAUCUUCUCAGCUCCAUACAGAUGUUUCUUCCCCAGAGCCAACGCAGCAAUCCUACUGGUGGCUCCUGCUUGGGUGAUGUGUUGGGAUGGAGGAGGCCUCGUCUUCUCAGCCCGACUGGGGUGUCUCUUUCCUUGAGAUGAUGCAAAGAUCGUGCUGGUGCCUCACACCACCAUGGGGUUCCCCUCUCCACCAGUCCUCGCCUUGGUCUUCCCAGAGCUCCCAGUUAUUCCCAAGGUUUUAACUGGGAAUCCUGGAAUGAGAACGGGUUUAUUGAUGAAUAAAUCAUGCCUGUU